rnacentral:rRNA from 1 species
GACGUAGGGCGCGAGCGUUGUCCGGAUUUAUUGGGCGUAAAGAGCUCGUAGGCGGCUUGUCGCGUCGACUGUGAAAACCCGUGGCUCAACUGCGGGCCUGUAGUCGAUACGGGCAGGCUAGAGUUCGGUAGGGGAGACUGGAAUUCCUGGUGUAGCGGUGAAAUGCGCAGAUAUCAGGAGGAACACCGGUGGCGAAGGCGGGUCUCUGGGCCGAUACUGACGCUGAGGAGCGAAAGCGUGGGGAGCGAACAGG